rnacentral:rRNA from 1 species
UACGGAGGGAGCUAGCGUUAUUCGGAAUUACUGGGCGUAAAGCGCACGUAGGCGGCUUUGUAAGUUAGGAGGAUGAAGCCCGGAGCUCAACUCCGGAACUGCCUUUAAGACUGCAUCGCUUGAAUCCAGGAGAGGUGAGUGGAAUUCCGAGUGUAGAGGUGAAAUUCGUAGAUAUUCGGAAGAACACCAGUGGCGAAGGCGGCUCACUGGACUGGUAUUGACGCUGAGACGCGAAAGCGUGGGGAGCAAACAGG